rnacentral:rRNA from 1 species
AGUGAACGCCGGCGGUAGGCCUAACACAUGCAAGUCGAACGGCAGCACAGUAAGAGCUUGCUCUUACGGGUGGCGAGUGGCGGACGGGUGAGGAAUACAUCGGAAUCUACUUUUUCGUGGGGGAUAACGUAGGGAAACUUACGCUAAUACCGCAUACGACCUACGGGUGAAAGCAGGGGAUCUUCGGACCUUGCGCGAUUGAAUGAGCCGAUGUCGGAUUAGCUAGUUGGCGGGGUAAAGGCCCACCAAGGCGACGAUCCGUAGCUGGUCUGAGAGGAUGAUCAGCCACACUGGAACUGGGACACGGUCCAGACUCCUACGGGAGGCAGCAGUGGGGAAUAUUGGACAAUGGGCGCAAGCCUGAUCCAGCCAUACCGCGUGGGUGAAGAAGGCCUUCGGGUUGUAAAGCCCUUUUGUUGGGAAAGAAAAGCAGCAGGUUAAUACCCCGCUGUUCUGACGGUACCCAAAGAAUAAGCACCGGCUAACUUCGU